GACGAACGCUGGCGGCGUGCUUAACACAUGCCAGUCGAACGGAAAGGCCCUGCUUUUGUGGGGUGCUCGAGUGGCGAACGGGUGAGUAACACGUGAGUAACCUGCCCUUGACUUUGGGAUAACUUCAGGAAACUGGGGCUAAUACCGGAUAGGAGCUCCUGCUGCAUGGUGGGGGUUGGAAAGUUUCGGCGGUUGGGGAUGGACUCGCGGCUUAUCAGCUUGUUGGUGGGGUAGUGGCUUACCAAGGCUUUGACGGGUAGCCGGCCUGAGAGGGUGACCGGCCACAUUGGGACUGAGAUACGGACCAGACUCCAACGGGAGGCAGCAGUGGGGAAUAUUGCACAAUGGGCGGAAGCCUGAUGCAGCAACGCCGCGUGCGGGAUGACGGCCUUCGGGUUGUAAACCGCUUUCGCCUGUGACGAAGCGUGAGUGACGGUAAUGGGUAAAGAUGCACCGGCUAACUACGUG
rnacentral:rRNA from 1 species